rnacentral:rRNA from 1 species
UCAUUUUAAAAAAAAUAUUUUUUUUUUUAGUAAUUUUUGAAUUAAUAUUUUUUUGUAAUAGCUUAUUUUACUGUAAAGGAUUAUUUUUAUUUUUUUUUAAGUAMUUUUUGUUUAGUGUACCUUUUGCAUCAGGGUUUAUUUAUUUAUAAAAAUUAUUUUGUUUUCCCGAAAUCUUGUGAUUUAAUAAAAAAUGUAAUUUUAUGUUUCAAAAUGAUUUAUAAUUUUUUAUUGGAGGUUAUAUGCUUUUCAUACAAGGUGAUAUCUGGUUUAUUAAUACUUGAAUUUAAUUCAUUUACAUUUAGUUCUUAAGUUAAUUUUAUUAUUUAGAAUUUUUUGUUAAAAAAUUUUUGGGGAUAAGCUCAUUUUUUUUGUUAAAAGUUUUUUUCUUUUUAAUACUAAGUAGGAUUAAUAAUUUUCAUCUUUAUUUUGUUAUAAUUAUUUUUUAAUUUUUAUGAUUUUUUAUUUACUUUAAUUUUUUAUUAAUAUUUUGUUUUUAAUUUUUUAUUUUAAUUAAUAAUGAUAAAAUUAGUAAUUUUUUUAAUUUAAAAAUAGUAAUUCGGCAAAUUUUAUUUCCACCUGUUUAACAAAAACAUGGUCUUUAGUUUUUUAUUUAAGAUCAGGCCUGCCCAUUGAUUUGAAAUAUUAAAAGGCUGCGGUAUUUUAACUGUACGAAGGUAGCAUAAUCAUUUGUCUUUUAAUUGGAGGCUAGAAUGAAUGGUUUGAUGAGAAAUAGACUUUCUUUUUUUAAUUUAUUUUAAUUUAAUUUUUUAGUUAAAAAGCUAAAAUUUUUUUAUAGGACGAGAAGACCCUAUAGAAGUUUACUAUAUUAAUAAUUUUUUGUUUUUUGUUAUUAAAAUAUUUUUUUAAAUUGUAUAGUUUUGUUGGGGUGACAUUAAAAUUUUUUUAACUUUUAAUAUUUUUUUCAUAAAUUUAUGUUUUUUUGAUCCAGUAUUUAUUGAUUAUAAGUUUAACUUACCUUAGGGAUAACAGCGUAAUUUUUUCGGAGAGUUCAUAUCGAUGAAUAAAGUUUGCGACCUCGAUGUUGAAUUAAGAUAAGAUUUGGGUGUAGAAUUUCAUUUUCUUGGUCUGUUCGACCAUUAAUUUCUUACAUGAUUUGAGUUCAGACCGGCGUGAGCCAGGUCGGUUUCUAUCCUUAUUUUAUGUAAAUUAGUACGAAAGGACCGUUUACAUUGAUUAAUAUUAUUAUUUUUUUGAUUAUAAUUAA